GCCAGGCACAGUGGCGCAUGCCUGUAAUCUUAGCGGCUUCGGAGGUUGAGGCAGGAGGAUCGAGAGUUCAAAGCCAACCUUUGAACAAGCGAGUUCAACAGCGAGUGCUAAGCUACUCAAUGAGACCCUGUCUCUU
rnacentral:sRNA from 1 species